rnacentral:lncRNA from 1 species
UGAAAUAUAACUAUAUGAAUAACAUGCUAAACAUUCAUUUAUUCCAGUAAAGCACAUCAAGCGUAUCCAUAUAGCUGAAAAAGAGCCAUAUCCUCAUCCAUUGUAUAUAAAAACCUGCAUUGCAAAGUUUAAGAAAAUACCUGAAUUGCAGAAAAUAAAUACAGCGGUGAAGAAAUAGAGCUUAGCAGAAGAAAACAAAACAGCUACAAACACAGCAGAAAACUGUAGCAAUUUCGUGUUUAAACAGCCCGAAAACCUUAGAAGAAACCCAGAACCAGCUCUAAAGAAGACUUAUACUUUUCUAAAAGUUUGCACUCUAAAAUUUACUCACAAAGCUCACCAUUUCAGCUUACUAAAGGGUGCUUUAGUUGUUGAUUUUUUACUCUCCAAGUUGUAUUUUUAGGGUGUAAAGACUGUCCAACAAAAAUGUGAUCCAGUGUCCUGAAGUGAGGAAAUAGCAACCCCCUUAAAUAGGCAAAUAAAGUCACUUUUUGGGAUAGAUUUUGGUUCCCCAAAAAUCUGUCCAAAAGACUAAUUUUGUGUGCUAAACACAGUUCAAAUUCUGUCCAAAAUGUGAAAGGACGGCCUGAAAAUCUGCUAUGUCAGAAGUAAGGAGAAAAAAUAUCAUUUCAGUCACCCUACUAGUAAAAGUAGGCUACUAUUACCCUAUUUUAUGAUAAUAGAACCUAAACUUCAGAUUUUAACCAUCAACAACUAACUACUUGCUCAACACAAAUCAAACUUGAACUAUGAACUGACAAAGCAUAAACGAGACUAAAAACAUAAUUGAACUAAGUAUUCAAACCAACUUGAUUGAAAUGAAUUCGAUUUUUGCAAACUAAUUACUAAACAAACAACUAAAUUCACAAACUAAAUGCUCAAACCAGAACGAGCAUCGUUAACAAUCGGACAACGACUAACAACAAGUAAAUAAUUGACAAACUAAGUGAACGAUUUAGCUAAUACACUAAAGAUCAUGUUUAAAUCAAUAACAAUCUAACAAACCACUAAACUAAAUAGAGAUAACUAAUUAAAUAAACCUAACUUGAAACUCUAAAUAACAAGAAACAACCAAAACAAAAAAAUCAAAAAUCAGAAACUAAUCUACUAAUAUAAAAAAUCAGAAAUUAAUUAAAGAGAUGACGAUUAUACCUAACGUGUAUGCUUGAAGUUGUUCGAGCCACGAGAAGACGCCGGAGAUGCUAAAAGGCGACUUCCCGACUAAACGCACGUUUCUUUCGGGUAGAUGCUAGAACGAAAUGAGUUUCAGCAUCUCGCCAAAAGAAACGAGUGUCUUUGAGUCGAAAAAUAGCUAAGAUGGGGAUUCGGUGCAUUUUGGCGGCGGUAAGGCAGUGAAGCCGCGGCGAGCAGUGGGCAGCGGACCGGCGACGACAGGGAUUUUGGGGGUGAAAUGGGUAGGAAAUGAUAGGUCUCGUGGAGCUCUAUCCAUUCAUGUAUGUGUUGUAGGGUUGUAUUGGCCAGAGCUUCGAGAAUUUGAGCCAAAAAGUGGCGGCUAAAAUUUCCUAGAUCUAAAAUUCAAAGAGUUUGAGGGGGUUUUGAAGGAAUUGGUUUGGAGAUAUGGGAAGAGGAGGUUGUGGAGAUUACAUGAUGUUAAUUUGGAGGUGUUUGGAGGUGGUCAGCCGCCGGUGGGUGAUUUCUGGCGGCGGCGGAGAGAAGAGAGAAAAGAGAGAAGAGAGAAGAGAGAAAGAGUUA